rnacentral:ribozyme from 1 species
AGCCCAGCAACUCCUACCCCUACCUCCACGUGGUACGGGCCGGAAACUAUGAGCAACCUUAGGGAAGAUCGGGUAACCAACCCCGGUGGACACUUUGGUCCACCGGCUGACAGGGAAGG